UACGUAGGGUGCAAGCGUUGUCCGGAAUUAUUGGGCGUAAAGGGCUCGUAGGCGGUUCGUCACGUCGGGAGUGAAAACUCGGGGCUUAACCCCGAGCCUGCUUCCGAUACGGGCAGACUAGAGGUAGGCAGGGGAGAGCGGAACUCCUGGUGUAGCGGUGGAAUGCGCAGAUAUCAGGAGGAACACCGGUGGCGAAGGCGGUUCUCUGGGCAUGUCCUGACGCUGAGGAGCGAAAGUGUGGGGAGCGAACAGG
rnacentral:rRNA from 1 species